rnacentral:rRNA from 1 species
GAUGAACGCUGGCGGCGUGCCUAAUACAUGCAAGUCGAGCGAACAGACGAGGAGCUUGCUCCUCUGACGUUAGCGGCGGACGGGUGAGUAACACGUGGAUAACCUACCUAUAAGACUGGGAUAACUUCGGGAAACCGGAGCUAAUACCGGAUAAUAUAUUGAACCGCAUGGUUCAAUAGUGAAAGACGGUUUUGCUGUCACUUAUAGAUGGAUCCGCGCCGCAUUAGCUAGUUGGUAAGGUAACGGCUUACCAAGGCAACGAUGCGUAGCCGACCGGAGAGGGUGAUCGGCCACACUGGAACUGCGACGCGGUCCAGGCGCCUACGGGAGGCAGCAGUAGGGAAUCUUCCGCAAUGGGCGAAGGCCUGACGGAGCAACGCCGCGUGAGUGAUGGAGGUCUUCGGAUCGUAAAACUCUGUUAUGAGGGAAGAACAAAUGUGUAAGUAACUAUGCACGUCUUGACGGUACCUAAUCAGAAAGCCACGGCUAACUACGUG